AAGUUUUUAAGUGAAUCGAACACUUUUAAAAAGCUUUCAAAACUUUUAUUUACCCAGUAAAAACCU
rnacentral:tRNA from 1 species